rfam:Strongylocentrotus purpuratus Contig112380_fixed, whole genome shotgun sequence.
GUCAGGAUGGCCGAGCNGGUCUAAGGGCGCUACGUUCAGGUCGUAGUCUACUUUGUAGGCGUGGGUUCGAAUCCCACUUCUGACA